rnacentral:rRNA from 1 species
CGUAACAAGGUCUCCGUAGGUGAACCUGCGGAGGGAUCAUUACACAAAUAUGAAGGCGGGCUGGAACCUCUCGGGGUUACAGCCUUGCUGAAUUAUUCACCCUUGUCUUUUGCGUACUUCUUGUUUCCUUGGUGGGUUCGCCCACCACUAGGACAAACAUAAACCUUUUGUAAUUGCAAUCAGCGUCAGUAACAAAUUAAUAAUUACAACUUUCAACAACGGAUCUCUUGGUUCUGGCAUCGAUGAAGAACGCAGCGAAAUGCGAUAAGUAGUGUGAAUUGCAGAAUUCAGUGAAUCAUCGAAUCUUUGAACGCACAUUGCGCCCUUUGGUAUUCCAAAGGGCAUGCCUGUUCAAGCGUCAUUUGUACCCUCAAGCUUUGCUUGGUGUUGGGCGUCUUGUCUCUAGCUUUGCUGGAGACUCGCCUUAAAGUAAUUGGCAGCCGGCCUACUGGUUUCGGAGCGCAGCACAAGUCGCACUCUCUAUCAGCAAAGGUCUAGCAUCCAUUAAGCCUUUUUUUCAACUUUUGACCUCGGAUCAGGUAGGGAUACCCGCUGAACUUAAGC